ACUCCUACGGGAGGCAGCAGUGGGGAAUAUUGCACAAUGGGCGCAAGCCUGAUGCAGCCAUGCCGCGUGUAUGAAGAAGGCCUUCGGGUUGUAAAGUACUUUCAGCAGUGAGGAAGGCGGGUACGUUAAUAGCGUGCUUGUUUGACGUUAGCUGCAGAAGAAGCACCGGCUAACUCCGUGCCAGCAGCCGCGGUAAUACGGAGGGUGCGAGCGUUAAUCGGAAUUACUGGGCGUAAAGCGCAUGCAGGUGGUUUGUUAAGUCAGAUGUGAAAGCCCGGGGCUCAACCUCGGAAUAGCAAUUUGAAACUGGCAGACUAGAGUACUGUAGAGGGGGGUAGAAUUUCAGGUGUAGCGGUGAAAUGCGUAGAGAUCUGAAGGAAU
rnacentral:rRNA from 1 species